AGCUGAGGACGACCUCGGCCUGCGGGCUUCCCUGCCGUCCGGGACGACCCGG
rnacentral:ncRNA from 1 species